rnacentral:rRNA from 1 species
GGCAUUCAAGACUGGUUAGCUAGAGUCUUGUAGAGGGGGGUAGAAUUCCAUGUGUAGCGGUGAAAUGCGUAGAGAUGUGGAGGAAUACCGGUGGCGAAGGCGGCCCCCUGGACAAAGACUGACGCUCAUGUGCGAAAGCGUGGGGAGCAAACAGGAUUAGAUACCCUGGUAGUCCACGCUGUAAACGAUGUCGAUUUGGA